rnacentral:rRNA from 1 species
GACGAAGGGGGCUAGCGUUGCUCGGAAUUACUGGGCGUAAAGCGCGUGUAGGCGGCUGUUCAAGUUGGGCGUGAAAGCCUUGGGCUUAACCCAAGAAAUGCGCUCAAUACUGGAUAGCUAGAGGACCGGAGAGGAUAGUGGAAUUCCCAGUGUAGUGGUGAAAUUCGUAGAUAUUGGGAAGAACACCGGUGGCGAAGGCGGCUAUCUGGACUGUGAUUGACGCUGAGGCGCGAAAGCGUGGGGAGCAAACAGG